rnacentral:tRNA from 1 species
GGGGAUGUAGCUUAGAUGGUAGAGCGCUCGCUUAGCAUGCGAGAGGUACAGGGAUCGAUACCUCGCAUCUCCA